CGCAAAUCGACCAGCUGUCUAUAUAGACUGGCGGGUUGGAUAGACCACAUGCAAACUCGCGCCAUAAACAAUUAGAGAACCUAUCACAAUGACCACUACUAGAUGUUCCGCCGUCAGUAAAAUUCUGCUGGUGAUGAAUCGGUAACCUAUACAAGCAAGGGGAAGGGCCGUGGUAAGAACAGGGGUGCAGAGGGCAAAGCAGAAGACAAGGACAGAGCAGUGGACAACGACAGUGCAGGGAACGAGGGAAUAUAACUUGUGACGCAGAAAGUGUGAAGCAACAAUUUGAAAAUAGGACACGGUUAAAGGAACUUAUAACAGGGAUGUCAACUGAUAAUGUGAGAAAACUGUCUGAAAAUAACUGAAAGAGAGCUAGGAAAUGUGUUUGACUUAUGUAAAAUAAGUACAUCACCAUCACCAUAUAGAUACCAUCCCCCACAAGAACAGACUAGUCAAAGUUGGUAUAGGUGUGGCAAUUGUAGGGAGAUGCCAACAGAAAUUGAGAGGAAAUGCUGUGACAACCUCCCACGGAACUGCAUUUCAUUUCACACCUGAUAGACUGGCUUAGUAGCUUAUUGUGGUUUAAAGACAACAUUCAAAGACUGAUUGGAAUCAACUUCGUUUCUUGGAAACCAGAACUUCUGUUGCUUCUGGUUCAAUCUCUGCAGUGGUUCUGGAUAGCCUUCUUGGAUCAUCCUGUGAGAUUGUCACUCGUGUUGCAUGCUCAAAUAUGCAUCAUCUAUUCGUUUGUGCAUGAUCUGUGUUAAUAAUUCAAGAAUGUACUGGUACAAUUUCUUCUCCAAAACAGGCACCACACUCUUACUCCGCUUGGAAUAUAUUCGAUGAUGCCUGAAAUUAAUGAUAAAUAUUGAUAAUUAGUACAUGAAAUAUUUAAAUGUGUGGAAGGUACUGUUAAUUAUCUAUAUAGUUUAAAUAUAUUAAACAUUUAUUUAUGCAUUCCACAAGAUCUAACCAUUUCACUCAUUUAACUUAUAUAUAUAUAUGAAAUAAUAAUAAUAAUAAAUCAAUAGGGCUUCUAGAAUUUUUAUCAGAUCCACUAGCCAUGGAAUCAGUGAUUAAAAUAGUUUUACUAGCCACAAUUAAA
rnacentral:misc_RNA from 1 species